rnacentral:rRNA from 1 species
AAGGCCUCCAUCACUUGCAACUGGAUGAGAUCCAAUGUCACCAGUGAUACAUUAGCAGAAUUUGUUAAGUCUGGAUAUCUGCCCAAGAAAGACGUCAUGUCCUACCGUGCCCCUGACCCGUCAGAAGAGAGACCACAGCCAAAGGAUGGGGAGGUAGUGAUUUUUGCGGAUCACAUGAGCCGGGGCUUCGCACCGCCCGGCUCAAAGUUUUUUAGAGACGUUCUAAGCUUCUUCGAUUUGCGGCCUCAAGAUAUAGGACCCAACUUAGUGUCCAACAUCUGCAACUUCCAAGUAUUCUGCGAGGUUUACCUUGGAGAAGAACCUAGUCUGCUGCUCUUCAGAGAGCUUUUUUACUUGAACCGUCAGAAUGAGUGCGCCAAUGGGCCAAGUCUGGAGUUAGGUGGCAUCUCC